rnacentral:miRNA from 1 species
GUGGCAGUAGAAUUAAUGAAGGGA